rnacentral:rRNA from 1 species
UACGAAGGGGGCUAGCGUUGCUCGGAAUCACUGGGCGUAAAGGGUGCGUAGGCGGGUCUUUAAGUCAGGGGUGAAAUCCUGGAGCUCAACUCCAGAACUGCCUUUGAUACUGAGGAUCUUGAGUUCGGGAGAGGUGAGUGGAAUUCCCGGUGUAGCGGUGAAAUGCGCAGAUAUCGGGAAGAACACCCGUGGCGAAGGCGGCUCUCUGGGACGGUACUGACGCUGAGACGCGAAAGCGUGGGGAGCGAACAGG